UGGUUGAUCAGUGGCGAACGGGUGAGUAACACGUGAGUAACCUGCCCUUGACUCUGGGAUAACUCCGGGAAACCGGGGCUAAUACCGGAUACGAGACGCGACCGCAUGGUCGGCGUCUGGAAAGUUUUUCGGUCAAGGAUGGACUCGCGGCCUAUCAGCUUGUUGGUGAGGUAAUGGCUCACCAAGGCGUCGACGGGUAGCCGGCCUGAGAGGGCGACCGGCCACACUGGGACUGAGACACGGCCCAGACUCCUACGGGAGGCAGCAGUGGGGAAUAUUGCACAAUGGGCGAAAGCCUGAUGCAGCGACGCCGCGUGAGGGAUGAAGGCCUUCGGGUUGUAAACCUCUUUCAGUAGGAAGAAGCGAAAGUGACGGUACCUGCAGAAGAAGCGCCGGCUACUACGUGCCAGCAGCCGCGGUAAUACGUAGGGCGCAAGCGUUGUCCGGAAUUAUUGGCGUAAAGAGCUCGAGGCGGUUUGUCGCGUUCUGGUGUGAAAACUCAAGGCUCAACCUUGAGCUUGCAUCGGCGGGCAACUAGAGUGUGGUAGGGGUGACUGGAAUUCCUGGGGUAGCGGUGGGAAUGCGCAGAUAUCAGGAGAACACCGAUGGCGAAGCAGGUCACUGGGGCCCUACUGACGCUGAGGACGAAAGCAUGGGGAGCGAACAGGAUUAGAUACC
rnacentral:rRNA from 1 species